rnacentral:misc_RNA from 1 species
GGAGAGUGUAUUAUUUCUUGAUAAUUCUGGAAUGAAUUACAAGAUUACACAAUCAGAGUUAUAUAGCAGCUUUGGUAACUGCUUGUAACUAACUCCUAGCUGCUGUUAGUAGCUCUAUAACAGCCUAACUGGCAAUAACAACCAGCUAUCUGACUCUUCUAAUUCAGUGACACUUGCUAACUAACUCAGCUGCAAUUAUCAUCUACACUUGUCCUCAUCAUAUAUACUACCAAUCUACUCUCUAUUUCUUCUAUAUUUCCUUCUUGGGUAUGUAACAAUGCCCCCCUCAAUUAACGCUUUCUUGUCCCCAAGAAUAUGCAAAUUUUGGAAAUUGAGCCAGAAUGAAGGUCUUCCCAUGUGGCAUCCUCAACUAGCAUGUUGACCCACUUAAGAAGUCUCUGCAAGACAUGGUGCUGAUUCCUGGGGAUGACCCUGGUAUGUAGAACCUUCUCAGGAGCAACUACCAUGAGGUCUUCUUGCAUCAGAAGGAAAUCCACCACAUGAGUGAUAUUAUCUCCCACAUCUUCUUCAGCAUUGAGAUGUGAAAGAUGGGGUGAAUGGCAGAGGAUGGUCGCAACUCCUGUUUGUAAGCCACCUUCCCCAUCCCUGCUAUGAUCUGAUAUGGACCAUAGUACCUAGUAGAGUUUUUCAGUGUUUGUAUCAAAGCCAAAGAAGUUUGCCUAUAUGGCUGAAGCUUCAAGUAAACCAAGUCUCCCACUGAAAAUUCCCUUUCUGUUAUUUUCUUGUCUGCCUGUUGCUUCAUCCUAUUUUGGGCCACUUGUAAACUGUCUUUUAGGAUGUAACUGAGGUACUGCCUUUCCCUUAGAAAAUCUCCAACAUUGCCCACAACUGGUGACUCAGGUAGGAUAACAGGUAGACAAGGGAGGAGAAUAACCGUGGAGAGCCUCAAAUAGGUGCAUGUUUAUGGCACUAUGAUAUAACUUGCUGCUGCUCAUAUAGCUUCUGUUUGAAUUUUCCUGAAGAACCCAUUGUCCUGUUGAUUGUGGAACUGUG